UUGUUACAAUUAGAGAAAUUCCUCCUGUUUGGGUAGAUGAUCUUUUGUCUGUUGUUUUAAAUUAUUGAAUGUCAGUAUUUGGUAACAGGUUAAUCUACAUGAAUACUUUAUAGUCAAUUGACCGGACAUUGUGUAUUUAAUUCGGUUAUUUUUUGCCUUUAUUUUUAAGAUACUUAUCACUGCCUUUUUGAUUCGUGAGUCUUUUGUAAUUUCAACAGGUUAUAAAUAAUAGGGAGACACUUGUUAAACUUUUCAUGAAGCACACUGGAAAUGAGAGUAUAUGAACAAUUGUUAUAUUUCUAAAUUUAUGGACUACAACCAAAAAUCUGACAAGAUUUGUUAAUUAGCCUGUGGAGUCUGAUGUGGAGGCCAUUUGAACUCCAUUAAGGCCCAAGAAUGUGGGGUCAUUGACAAGAUUUUUGGUGUGGUGAAGAGAAGAUAAUGGCAGCUGCCCUCUCUCUUGAGGAAUGGGACUGACAAGCAAGAAUUAAUGUCGUUGAUGUUUCAUCGAACUCAAAUGCAUGGAGAACAUCAUGAAGGAGUAGUAUGGGAAGAGCAUUUCUUUUGCGAGGCUUCACGUCACGUCGGGACUGAGCGGUUAGUGGUGGAGGGGGAUUUGAUCAUGGUGGUCAGGUGGAUUCGAGGGGGGGGGGGGAGUUGUAGCCUCCAACCCACUUAUUCGCGAUAUUGGCUUCCUGUUAGCGAUGUGUGUUUCUGUAGAUAUCAAGCAUGUCUAUCGUGAGGCGAACAAUAUUACUGACUAUGUUGCAAAUUAUGUUGCUAAUCAUUCUAAAAAUAGUACUUGAAU